GGUACCAGCCUGCCCCGGUCUUAGUAAGAGGCAAGUGGACCGCGGUGAACGUAGCCUUCAGUGACGACAAAGAUUUCAAGGUCGAAUUGAGGUGUAUUCUAAGGUGGGAGCAGUUUAUUGGAACACCCUACUGCGUGAUCGACGCCAUUUCUCUACAAGACUGCAGUGCCAGGAAAGAUUUGCAGAACAGUCGGUGCGACUUUGAGGAUGGCUGGUGCAGUUGGAAGAACAUCAACAGUCCAGACGGUGGCAAAUUAUACUGGGCUCUCGGCGGGGGAAACGUCAAGACGACGCUACUGAGACCGCGCCGUGACCAUACACUCGGCAACAGUUCAGGUUCAUACGUAUUCGUGAGUAACUACGAGAGAAAGAGCGGAGACAGCGCAGGGCUUAUCGGUGAAAGCCUCCUUGACAACAACGGGAUAUCGCAAUGCAUCGAGUUUUGGUACAUAAUCUCAGGCCACAACG